rnacentral:lncRNA from 1 species
GGACCGGAAGUGGCACUGGUUACUUGGUGACACUUGAGAGAGGGGUGGAGGUCCAGCCCCAGCAAGACAAGGCUAUACAGGAGGUGAAGCUGCAGAGCCAGGAACAGGAAGUGACUGUGACAUGGAUCCUGCCAGGUGGGGAAAGAGACACACUGGGGAACAAGGAGGAGGAGGGCCAGGCUCAGAGAAAUGGGAAAGAAGAGGAGGUUGCCUGCUUACGCUGCUGGCUUGUCCCUUCCUGGAUGACAGUUCUCCCAACUGCAGGACUCGUAAGUGGUGUCAGCAUCUGACUCACGGUGCUCCUCAGCUCUAUGGAAAUUUGGCCUCUACCUGCCCUCGUGAUUGGAAAAAGUGGCGUCAACUCAUCAAAGCAGAACCAGGCUACUACUUAGUCCUUGAUCUGUGGGUUACCGGGAAGGCCCAGGGUUACCCAGCCCUUUCUGGUCCCAGCCAGAAACUGGGGGGGUCGGGGGGGGGGGUAGGGUUCUUUAGUUGGUGUCAGGCCUGCCUGGGGCAGAGAAAUGGUGGAGAGAGACUGGGCAAGGGAGGAGGGGUGGCUUUGAAAAGGAAUGUGUGGGGGUGACAUGGUUAAUGUCCCAGGUGAGCCAAGCUGGAAGGGAAGGUCAAAGAGAAGUGACUUGUUUCCUCAGGCUGGCUGCCUCCUUGUGGAUGCUGAGGCCAAGCAUACUGUACCCUCCUUGCUAUCUCUGGGGGGCUGGCACUCGGGGGUGGGGGGUUCCUUGGCAGAGGGUCAGAAGAGGCAGGAAGCUGUACAGUUGAGAGGGAGACCUGUAUCGUUGAGGGGCCUGCUGGGCCAGUUGGUAGAGUCUAUUGGUCAUAGACAGCAGAGUCCACGCAGAGUGUCUCUUUCCAAGGUUAAGUCCAGGUUGUUAGCAUUUUGAGGACCUGGAUUCUCCAGAGAUAUGUUAGGGACAGGGGCCUAUUCCAAAAGUUGCACAUGGAAGGGAUAGAAGGAAGGAGGCUGGACAGAAGCCAGCUGAACUGCGGUCCCGUCCAAAGGCUGGCAGAAAGAGGGAAGGCACCUUGGAGUUCAGCAUCCAAGUCUGAGGCAAAGCUAGGCAUGGGGGUGCACAUCUGUGAUCCCACCACUCAGAGAGCUGAUGCAGGUGGAGUGUGGUGAGUUCAAGACCAAUCUGGGAAUCCGCUAGGCAAGCACUGUACUACUGAGCUGCAUGGCUAGGCCAUUUCUUCUUCCUCUAGCCACGAAGCCACGAAGCCACGAAGCAGAAUCUUAAGGAGACUCCUGAUUCCCUAGUCCAAGCCUGCUUCUCCUGGCUUCCUGUGCAAAGCUUCGGCCUUCUCUAGCCCACGGAAAUGGGAGGAAGGAAGAAAUGGGUAUCACUUCUGGGCAGCAUCUUUGAGAAAGACAUACACUUCUGCUCUCCCUGUCUAGACCUGUCCGUGACGGCAGGAGCAGGCAUCUGAGGCCUCAAGAGAGAAUGCACACAUUGAGGGUAGCAGACUGACAAGACUGGCUGAGCUUGGGUCGCUAUGACUGUGGAACUGCCAAACUGAGUCCUGAGCUGCUUCUCCUGAGACUGUGGCUGAGAAGGGGUGUGCCUCUAUCCUAGUUCAACCUGUUACCAUGACAGCAACCAGAUGCCUGUCUUGUUUUGUUUGUUUGUUUGCUUGCUUGCUUGCUUGCUUUUUUGAGACAGGGUACUGUCAUGAGGCCCAGACAGGUCUCCUCCUGCCUCAGCCUCCGGAGCAUUAGGAUAGGAGGUGUGCAACAUCAUUGGAAUAUCUACCUCACUGAGCAGAGGACACAACUGUAGGGACAGAGAUCUUACCAUGCCAGCCAGCUUUAUGUGGGACUUGGGUUUCAUGAGCAAGAUGACUCUUCUGAGCCUAGACAUCUGGACCUAUCUCCUCUCAAUGGAGGAUCUCAAUGGAGGUCAGGUGAGGUUGCUAGGGCUAAGACUCAACACCUUCCCCCAAGACUUGUUGCUUUCCAGUAUACAAAGGAUCCACACUCACGAACAAACCGGAGGUAACACGGCCCCACUCACCUUGACCUAGUAGAAAUGGCAGGCAAUACAAUCACUCAUGCAAAGUGGGAUUGGUGGUGACUGCCUGGUUGGGUACGGCAGUGGACUCUGUGAUAGAUCAGUCCCCACCCUUCUCUCCCAGUCGGAAAUGUUACUUUGGCAGAGCAUGGAAGUCAAAGUAACAUUUGCUUACUUGCUUAUUCAUUUAGAUUUUUAAAAAUUAUUCAGGGCUGGUGAGAUGGCUCAGUGGGUAAGAGCACCCGACUGCUCUUCCGAAGGUCCAAAGUUCAAAUCCCAGCAACCACAUGGUGGCUCACAACCAUCUGCAACAAGAUCUGACUCCCUCUUCUGGAGUGUCUGAAGACAGCUACAGUGUACUUACAUAUAUUAAUAAAAUAAAUCUUUAAAAAAAUUAUUCA